rnacentral:lncRNA from 1 species
AUUCUGCAGAUAUAACUUGAUGACCCUGGAUGCAAAGGUUCACUUUAGAAUAUUCAAGAAGAUAUCCAGGCAUUAGCCUGAGCUGGAAACUUGGGUCUCCCACAGAAAGAACUAUCUUCCCGGUUUUCUCUGGAAAUGAGUGGAGGGAAUGAAAAGAGUUAACAGAGAUAUGGCAUGAACAUGUAUUAGAAAAAUGAUUCACACACAAUAGAAAAAAUAAGUAAGACCAGGAUUGGGUGGCUUUGGAGAAUGUAAUUUCAGCUUGAAUAUGAAGAUGCUUGUAGAACAGUGUUCCUUCCUCUGAACAUGGCUACAGAAGAACAAAUCAGUUAGUCUGAAGGAAUAGCAUCCAGCUGUGGCAAGAGAGAACAUUAACUGUAACUUGAAGACUGAGUCCAAGAUGGAGUCACGCUCUGUGGCUCAAACUGGAGUGCAAUGGUGUGAUCUUGGCUCACUGCAACCUCCGCCUUCUGGGUUCAAGUGAUUCUCUUCCCUCAGCCUCCCGAGUAGCUGGUAUUUCAGGUUUUCUAAUGUAAAUCAAUGGCAUUGAAGUCCAAAAUUAAUGGCUUCCCUGUAUUCAUCCCCUUUGCAAAGUGACCUUGCAUAUUCUUCCAUCAAGAGGUUGUCAUACUUUGUCUAAAACAAAAGGAUUAUACUGCCCAGCAUUCUUCACUGUCAGGAUGGCCAAUGGGAUGAAAUGAGAAUUUACUUGGUGAGAUUCCUAAAAAUGGAAUUUAAAAGAGGAAGGAACUCAGCUUGCAUAUGCCUUUCACCCUUCAGUGUUCACCUCUUCCCUGCUCUAGGACACGAACACAAUGCAGGUUGUAAAGCAGCCAUGUUAUGAGAAUGAGCUAACAAGCAAAAGCAAACAUGAGGACAAUGAAAUAGAAGACUGGAAUGAGCCUCGUUCCCCAAUGGCAUCGUAGAGUUGCUAAAUUAGCCCUAGAUUUCCUGAUCAGAACCUCUUGUUAUGUAUGCAAAAGAUACCCAAAUUUGUUUAAGCCACUGUUACAUUUUUUGGGAGGUGAGGGGUAGUUUCUGUUAUUCAUAGCUGAAUGCAUCCUUCAACCAAUAUAAAGUUUUUGGAUAUCACUGUCUACCAAAUGUUUUCAUGGACCAUCAGUGGUGACUCUUGCAUUUUUAGGUGUCUAGGUGAUUGCCCACAUUACAAGCCCUGGUUUACCAACCAAUAAAAUGUGUGGCGGUUCAACCUCAUAAUUCAGUCCUGUCACGCCUUAUAGACCUUUUCCCCAUCAAUUUUAUGUAUCUCAUCCUAAAUUAACUUGAAGACACAGGUGUAAGAUAAAUAUGAGGGGCUGGCGAAAUCUCUUCUUGUAGAGUGUGGAAAAACUUCUCCUAAGGAAUGCUCAGUAUAUUGACGGAUGCUCAGUGGUGCCCCAGGGAUACACAGAGUUGAAGUUUCUGAUGUCAUUCACCUCAAAACCAGCUUUCUGCCACUGCUUUAGUGGCAUCUGUGUGUCAUUUAAAUGUAGAAUUGCGGCUUUUUCACACCUGCUUUUCCCAUUUUCAAGAAGUCUUGGUUAUAAAACUAGAGAAUCAGCUGGCCCUUCCAUAUGUAAGUGAAAGUUUUCAUCUUUUACUAAUUAGAAGAUAACCUAGAUUCAUUACUUUUUUAUUCAUCUUUCUUUUUAGUUAUUAAAAAUUGAUCUUUUUAUUUAUAGCUGCAUGAAAAAUUCUUUUGCAGUUUCUUCAAAGGUUUUCUCUCCCCCAUUUCUUUAUCUUUCUUUCAUUCCUAAAAUGUAACUUGAGAUGUGCACGUGGAAAAAUCUGUUUGGUUGGAAAUAAAAUGUGGAAGGGAAAAACCAGCUAUCAAUGGCACAGCCAUAUUUUAUAUUUGGACUCUACCAAGCCAUCAUAGAUCAGGAAUAUACCACUUCAUUUAAAUUGGCUUUUUGUCUACAGGUACCAUACUUAAGUAUCCAUCACCUCUGGAGAGGUUGUCAGAAAUGAGGCUGCAUCAUAAAUUGUCCUAAUGGCUCUUAGGUCCUGUGCCUCAGUGUGCUAGCCAGCCUUGGCCCCUUUGAUUUCUGUGUCAGAGUAGCAUCCCUUAGGCAUUUCUUAUUACUUGCAGGGCUGAAGUCAGCACUUUCCUAGAGUGGGGAGCUCAGGCUUCUUUCCUGGGAGUUGCAUGAAAAACUUAAAUAGUUAUGGCUGAGAAUUUGUGCAUGCUACAUUUCUCCAGGUCAGCUGAAAAUUAGCAAUGAGCCCUGAAAUUUCUCUUCAGACUAAUCAGUAAGGUAUUUUUUUUCCAGAGCUGAAUGCAUAUGUACACUAUGAAUGUCUGACUUAUCCUAUCCUAUUUAUUCAUGGGUGUCUAUUUAAGAAGUAUGUUUUAGUAGAAAUGUCAUGGUUUUGGAGACAAAAGACUCUGAGCCCUGCCAGUACUUGACAAAUGUAACUUCAAACAAGUAGCCUAAGUUCCAGGAGCCUGUUCUUCGUCUGUGGAUGGAGUUAACAAGGCCUGUCCUAUCUUACCUCAUAUGAUUGUUGUGAGGCUUCACAGUGAGGCAAUGUGUGGGGGUGAUUUGUACACUAUAAAGCACUGUAAACACGUAUUUAUAAGAUCUCUCCACUGUACCAGAUCUUAUCACUUCUCUUCAUAGGCAUGGCUCAUGGAUUGGAAGUAACUUUACUUCCAUGCCAAGUCCCUGUAAAUACUAUCCAUCCCUACCAAGGUAAAUCUCAACCCAAACUUGACCGCUUUGCUAGGUUCAAACCCAGACUUCUUUGUUCACUAAUUAUGGAAUCUUGUAUUAUUUACUCAACCUUACCAUGACUGUCACAUAAUCUAGAGCUGGGAUAUUGAUUGUACCCACACUUAAGGCUGAUUUAAGGAUUACAUGAGAUGAGCUCUAUAAAGUAGUUAUUAUGGUGCCUGAUAUACAGUAAAUAAUGAAUGGUAGGUAUUAUUAAUGUAUUAGUGUAGGUACAAGUAGAUUAUGGGAUUCUAAGAAGAUGGUUGCUAACAUCUUUUUUCUUCUUUUUUAUUUUUUAAAAUUAAUUUUUUAUUUCAAUAGGUUUUUGGGGAACAAGUGGUGUUUGAUUACAUUAAUAAGUUCUUCAGUCAUGAUUUCUGAGAUUUUGGUGCACCAUCACCCAAGCAGUGUGCACUGUACCCAAUGUGUAGUCUUUUGUCCCUCAUCUGCCUCCCACCCUUUCCCCUGAGUUGCCAAAGUCCAUUGUAUCAUUCUUAUGUCUUUGCAUCCUCAUAACUUAGCUCCCACUUAUGAGUGUGAACAUAUGAUGUUUGUUUUUUCAUUCCUGAGUUACUUCACUUAGAAUAAUAGUCUCCAAUUCCAUCCAGGUUGCUGGAUGUCAAAAGCCAUUAUUUUUUUCCUUUUUGGGGCUGAGUCAUAUUUUAUGUUCCAUGGUGUGUGUGUGUGUGUGUGUGUGUGUGUAUAUAUAUAUAUAUAUAUGUAUAUAUGUGUGUGUGUGUGUAUACACACCACAUUUUCUUCAGACACUUGUUGAUUGAUGGGGAUUUGGGCUGGUUCCAUAUUUUUGCAAUUGCAAAUUAUGCUGCUAUAAACAUGCUUGUGCGAGUAUCUUUUUCAUGUAAUAAUGACUUCUUUUCCUCUGGGUAGUUACCUAGUAGUGGGAUUGCUGGAGCAAAUGGUAGAUCUACUUUUAGUUCUUUAAGGAAUGUCUGCAUUGUUUUCCAUAGUGGUUGUACUAGUUUACAUUUACACCAACAGUGUAAAAGUAUUCCCUUUUUGCCACAUCCAUGCUAACAUUUAUGAUUUUUUGAUUGUGGCCAUUCUUGCAGGAGUGAGGUGGCAUUGCAUUGUGGUUUUGAUUUGCAUUUCCCCACUAUCGGUUAGUGAUGUUGAGCAUUUUUCCAUAUGCUUGUUGACCAUUUGUAUAUCUUUUUUGACAAUUGUCUAUUCAUGUCCUUAGCCCACUUUUUGAUGGGAUUGUUUGUUUUUUCUUGCUGAUUUGAGUUCUUUGUAGAUUCUGGAUAUUAGUCCUUUGUCAGAUAUAUAGAUUGUGAUGAUUUUCUCCCACUCUGUGGGUUGUCUGUUAAUUCUGCUGAUUAUUUCUUUUGCUGUGCAGAUGGUUUUUAGUUUAAUUAAGUCCCAUGUGUUUAUCUUGGUUUUUGUUGCAUUUGCUUUUGGGUGUGUGGUCAUGAAGUCUUUGCCUAAGCCAAUUCUAGAAGGGUUUUCUGAUGUUGUCUUCUAGAAUUUUUAUGGUUUCAGGUCUUAGAUUUAAGUAUUUGAUCCAUCUUGAAUUGAUUUUUGUAUAAGGUGAGAGAUGAUGAUCCAGUUUCCUACGUGUGUGGCUUGCCAAUUAUCUCUGCACCAUUUGUUGUUUUCCCCACUGUAUGUUCUUGUUUGCUUUGUUGAAGAUCAGUUGGCUCUAUUUGGCUUUAUUUCAGGGUCUUCUAUUCUGUUCCAUUGGUCUAUGUGCCUGUUUUUAUACCAGUACCAUGCUGUUUUGGUGACUAUGGCCUUAUAGUAUAGUUUGAAGUUGGGUAAUGUGAUGCCUCCAGAUUUGUUCUUCUUGCUUAGUCUUGCUUUGGCUAUGUGGAUUCUUUUUUGGUUCCAUAUGAAUUUUAGGAUUUUUUUUCUGGUUCUGUGAAGAAUGAUGGCAGUAUUUUAAUGGGAAUUGCAUUGAAUUUGUAGAUUACUUUUGGCAGUAUGUUCAUUUUCACAAUAUUGAUUCUACCCAUCUAUGAAUAUGAGGUGUGUUUCCAUUUGUUUAUGUCGUCUAUGAUUCUUCCAGCAGUGUUUCAUAGUUUUCUUUGUAGAGCUCUUUCACCUCCUUAGUUAGGUACAUUCCUAAGUAUUUUGUUUUAUUUUUUGCAGCUAUUGUCAAAGCAGUUGAGUUUUUAUUUGAUCAUCAGCUUGGUCACUGUUAGUAUAUAGCAGAACUACAGAUUUGUGUACAUUAAUUUUGUAUCCUAAAACUUUGCUGAAUUCUUUUAUCAGUUCUAGGAGCUUUUUGGAGGAGCCUUUAGGGUUUUCUAGAUAUACAAUCAUAUCAUCAACAAACAGUAACAGUUUGACUUCUUCCUUACUGAUUUGGAUGCCCUUAAUUUCUUUCUCUUUUCUGAUUAGUCUGGGUAGGACUUCCAGUACUAUGUUGAAUAGAAGUGGUGAGAGUGGGCAUCCUUGUUUUGUUCCAGUUCUCAGGGAAUGCUUUCAACUUUUCCCUGUCAGUAUAAUGUUGGCUGUGGGUUUGUCACAGAUGGCUUUUAUUACCUUAAGGUAUGUCCCUAGUACAUACCAUGCUGAUUUUCCUGAGGGUUUUCAUCAUAAAGGGAUGCUAGAUUUUGUCAAAUGCUUUUUCUGCAUCUAUUGAGGUGAUCAUAUGAUUUUUGUUUUUAAUUCUGUUUACGUGAUGUAUCACAUUUAUUGACUUGUGUAUGUUAAACCAUCCCUGCAUCCCUGUUAUGAAAUCCACUUGAUCAUGGUGGAUUAUCUUUUUGAUAUACUGUUGGAUUUGGUUAGCUAGUAUUUUGUUUAGAAUUUUUAUAUUUAUGUUUAUUAGGGAUAUUGAUCUAUAGUUUUCUUUUUUGGUUAUGUCCUUCACUGGUUUUGGUAUUAAAGUGAUACUGGCUUCAUAGAAUGAUUUAAGGAGGAUUUCCUCUUUCUCUAUCCUGUGGAAUAGUGUCAAUAGUGUUGGUAGCAAUUCUUCUUUGAAUGUCUGAUAGAAUUCAGCUGUAAAUCUGUCUGGUCCUGGACUUUUUUUUGGUGACAAUUUUUAAAUUACUGUUUCAAUCUCACUGCUUGUUAUUGGUCUAUUCAGAGUUUCUCUAUCUUCAUGGCUUAAUCUAGGAGGUUUGUAUAUUUCCAGGAAUUUAUUGACCUUCCCUAGGUUUUCUAAUUUAUGUGCAUAAAGUUGUUCAUAUUGGCCUUGAAUAAUCUCCUGUAUUUCUGUGGUAUGAGUAAUAAUAUCUCCCAUUUUGUUUCUAAUUGAGCUUAUUUGGAUCUUCUCUCAUCUUGGUUUAUCUUGCUAAUGGUCUACCAGUUUUAUUUAUCUUUUCAAAGAACCAGCAUUUUGUUCAUCUUUUGUAUUUUUUUUGUUUCAAUUUCAUUUAGUUCUGCUCUGAUCUUUGUUAUUUCUUUUCUUCUGCUGAGUUUGGGUUUGGAUUGUUCUAGUUCCUCCAGUUCCAUGAGGUGUGACCUUAGAUUGUUUAUUUGUGCUCUUUCAGAAUUUUUGAUGUAGUGAUUUAACGCUAUGAACUUUCGUCUUAGCACCAUUUUCACUGUAUCCCAGAGGUUUUUAUAGGUUGUGUCACUAUUAUUGUUCAGUUUAAAUAAUUUUUAAUUUCCAUCUUGACUUCAUUAUUGACCCAACAAUCAUUCAAGAGCAGAUUAUUUAAUUUUCAUGUAUUUGCAUGGUUUUGAGGGA